rnacentral:rRNA from 1 species
AUUGAACGCUGGCGGCAUGCUUUACACAUGCAAGUCGAACGGCAGCGCGGGCUUCGGCCUGGCGGCGAGUGGCGAACGGGUGAGUAAUGCAUCGGAACGUGCCCAGUAGUGGGGGAUAGCCCGGCGAAAGCCGGAUUAAUACCGCAUACGACCUGAGGGUGAAAGCGGGGGACCGAAAGGCCUCGCGCUAUUGGAGCGGCCGAUGUCGGAUUAGCUAGUUGGUGGGGUAAAGGCUUACCAAGGCGACGAUCCGUAGCUGGUCUGAGAGGACGACCAGCCACACUGGGACUGAGACCCGGCCCAGACUCCUACGGGAGGCAGCAGUGGGGAAUUUUGGACAAUGGGGGCAACCCUGAUCCAGCCAUGCCGCGUGCGGGAAGAAGGCCUUCGGGUUGUAAACCGCUUUUGUUCGGGAAGAAAUCCUCUGGGCUAAUACCCCGGGGGGAUGACGGUACCGGAAGAAUAAGCACCGGCUAACUACGUG